UACAUGGGGUGCAAACGUUGCUCGGAAUUAUUGGGCGUAAAGCGCACGUAGGUGGUUUGUUAUGUCGGAUGUGAAAGCCCUCGGCUCAACUGAGGAAGUGCAUCCGAAACUGGCAAGCUAGAGUAUGUAAGAGGGUCGCGGAAUUCCCGGUGUAGAGGUGAAAUUCGUAGAUAUCGGGAGGAACACCGGUGGCGAAGGCGGCGACCUGGGACAAUACUGACACUGAGGUGCGAAAGCGUGGGGAGCAAACGGG
rnacentral:rRNA from 1 species